rnacentral:rRNA from 1 species
CAGCAGCCGCGGUAAUACGUAGGGUGCGAGCGUUAAUCGGAAUUACUGGGCGUAAAGCGUGCGCAGGCGGCUAUGUAAGACAGGUGUGAAAUCCCCGAGCUUAACUUGGGAAUUGCAUUUGUGACUGCAUGGCUAGAGUGUGUCAGAGGGAGGUGGAAUUCCACGUGUAGCAGUGAAAUGCGUAGAUAUGUGGAGGAACACCAAUGGCGAAGGCAGCCUCCUGGGAUAACACUGACGCUCAUGCACGAAAGCGUGGGGAGCAAACAGGAUUAGAUACCCUGGUAGUCCACGCCCUAAACGAUGUCAACUAGUUGUUGGGUCAAUACUGACUUGGUAACGUAGCUAACGCGUGAAGUUGACCGCCUGGGGAGUUCGGCCGCAAGGUUAAAACUCAAAGGAAUUGAC